rnacentral:rRNA from 1 species
AGUGAACGCUGGCGGUAGGCCUAACACAUGCAAGUCGAACGGCAGCACAGUAAGAGCUUGCUCUUACGGGUGGCGAGUGGCGGCCGGGUGAGGAAUACAUCGGAAUCUACUUUUUCGUGGGGGUUAACGUAGGGAAACUUACGCUAAUACCGCAUACGACCUACGGGUGAAAGCAGGGGAUCUUCGGACCUUGCGCGAUUGAAUGAGCCGAUGUCGGUUUAGCUAGUUGGCGGGGUAAAGGCCCACCAAGGCGACGAUCCGUAGCUGGUCUGAGAGGAUGAUCAGCCACACUGGAACUGAGACACGGUCCAGACUCCUACGGGAGGCAGCAGUGGGGAAUAUUGGACAAUGGGCGCAAGCCUGAUCCAGCCAUACCGCGUGGGUGAAGAAGGCCUUCGGGUUGUAAAGCCCUUUUGUUGGGAAAGAAAAGCAGCAGGUUAAUACCCCGCUGUUCUGACGGUACCCAAAGAAUAAGCACCGGCUAACUUCGUG